CCUUGGGGCCUCAUGGGGGUCCCUGGGGGCACUGUGGGGGUCCUUAGGGUGCUGUGGGGUCCCCGGGCACCAUGGGGCCGGGCGAGUGCUGACAGUGACUGUGUGUGCAGGGAUGCUGGGGCGGCAGCUGAAGAAUGAGAACCAGGAGAUGGUGUUGGACAUCCGUAAAGCCCUGCAGGGUGCCAAGGGGGACAGCGAGCCGGCCGUGCGCUGCCUGGUGCAGCAGACACUGCUGAUCCUCUGCCAGAUGGAAGAUGUGCCGCCCACCAGGCCUAGGGGCAGAGCGUCACGCCAGUGGUUCCGGAGGGUGUGGAGGGAGUAAUGCCAGUCCAAAGUGUUUGGAGGUGUUUGCAUUCUGCUCCUCAAUGCCACACUAAUGCCAACCCUAAGAGCAACCAUAGCCCAAAGCAAACCACAGCCCCAACCAUAACCAGAACUCCAGCCUAAACCUCAAGUACAAUCAUAACCCCAGCUGACUUGCGGAAACUCCAUAAGCACAAAGGAGUGAUAAAAGCAGAGCACUUUCCUGAACUGCCACCCCUCCCCAGCUGGAUCCACGUCACCUUGACGGUGGAAAAACAGCCCGAGAAGAGAACAAGCGAUGUCAAGAAGAAGACCAGUCAGUUGCCAGCGAUCCCGGGGGCAUCUUCUAC